UACAGAGGUCUCAAGCGUUGUUCGGAUUCAUUGGGCGUAAAGGGUGCGUAGGUGGCGCCGUAAGUCGGGUGUGAAAUUUCGGAGCUUAACUCCGAAACUGCAUUCGAUACUGCGGUGCUUGAGGACUGGAGAGGAGACUGGAAUUCAUGGUGUAGCAGUGAAAUGCGUAGAGAUCAUGAGGAAGACCAGUGGCGAAGGCGGGUCUCUGGACCGUAACUGACGCUGAGGAGCGAAAGCGUGGGGAGCGAACAGG
rnacentral:rRNA from 1 species